rnacentral:rRNA from 1 species
GUACACUCCUGCGGGAGGCAGCAGUGGGGAAUUUUGGACAAUGGGCGAAAGCCUGAUCCAGCAAUGCCGCGUGAGUGAAGAAGGCCUUCGGGUUGUAAAGCUCUUUUGUCAGGGAAGAAACGGUGAAAGCUAAUAUCUUUUGCUAAUGACGGUACCUGAAGAAUAAGCACCGGCUAACUACGUGCCAGCAGCCGCGGUAAUACGUAGGGUGCAAGCGUUAAUCGGAAUUACUGGGCGUAAAGCGUGCGCAGGCGGUUUUGUAAGUCUGAUGUGAAAUCCCCGGGCGCAACCUGGGAAUUGCAUUGGAGACUGCAAGGCUAGAAUCUGGCAGAGGGGGGUAGAAUUCCACGUGUAGCAGUGAAAUGCGUAGAUAUGUGGAGGAACACCGAUGGCGAAGGCAGCCCCCUGGGUCAAGAUUGACGCUCAUGCACGAAAGCGUGGGGAGCAAACAGGAGUAGAUACCCGGGUAGUCCCAUGA